UUGGCUGGGGCGGUACACCCGUCAAACCGUAAGGCAGGUCUCCUACAGUGAGCUCAGGGAGGACCGAAGCCUCCUGUGGAGGACAAGGGCAAAAGCUUGCUUGAUCUGGACUUUCAGUACGAAUACAGACCGCGAAAGCAGGGCCUCAUGAUCCUUCUGAGUUUUUUGCCCAAACCCCCAAACAUCCCUAAGUCAUAUUAUGUUUACGCCUGUAAAUUGUAAUUGUUAUUUUUCAGAAAGAG
rnacentral:ncRNA from 1 species